rnacentral:rRNA from 1 species
UACGGAGGGAGCUAGCGUUGUUCGGAAUUACUGGGCGUAAAGCGCGCGUAGGCGGCUUUGUAAGUUAGAGGUGAAAGCCCGGAGCUCAACUCCGGAACUGCCUUUAAAACUGCAUCGCUUGAAUCCAGGAGAGGUGAGUGGAAUUCCGAGUGUAGAGGUGAAAUUCGUAGAUAUUCGGAAGAACACCAGUGGCGAAGGCGGCUCACUGGACUGGUAUUGACGCUGAGGUGCGAAAGCUAGGGGAGCAAACGGG